rnacentral:rRNA from 1 species
AGUGAACGCUGGCGGUAGGCCUAACACAUGCAAGUCGAACGGCAGCACAGUAAGAGCUUGCUCUUACGGGUGGCGAGUGGCGGACGGGUGAGGAAUACAUCGGAAUCUACUUUUUCGUGGGGGAUAACGUAGGGAAACUUACGCUAAUACCGCAUACGACCUACGGGUGAAAGCAGGGGAUCUUCGGACCUUGCGCGAUUGAAUGAGCCGAUGUCGGAUUAGCUAGUUGGCGGGGUAAGGGCCCACCAAGGCGACGAUCCGUAGCUGGUCUGAGAGGAAGAUCAGCCACACUGGAACUGAGACACGGUCCAGACUCCUACGGGAGGCAGCAGUGGGGAAUAUUGGACAAUGGGCGCAAGCCUGAUCCAGCCAUACCGCGUGGGUGAAGAAGGCCUUCGGGUUGUAAAGCCCUUUUGUUGGGAAAGAAAAGCAGCAGGUUAAUACCCCGCUGUUCUGACGGUACCCAAAGAAUAAGCACCGGCUAACUUCGUG